rnacentral:lncRNA from 1 species
CUAAACUCUUAUAAACUCUGACCCUAAUCAUUGUCAUCUCCGUCUCUUUAUGGUAGUCUUCCACAUACAUGGAUUGCUGGGUCAAUCUUUAAAGCUUCUAAUGCAACUCUUGUCAUAAUAAGAUGGAACAAACCUUUUUUUUUAUAGACUUCAUCUCUCUCUAGGUGGAUAUAGGUUGGUCUCUAUCUUUUCUCCUGAGGGCGGUCACUGAGCCCACCAAAUAAAUGCAUAAUCUGUGAACUCGAUUACUACUAGUUUCACUUUUUUAGCUUCACUGUAACUAUGGCAGUCAAAGAUAACCUUUACAUUCAUUCCCACUCAAGGUAGGUCUUUGCAUCAUUUUUGCCUCUGAAUAGGGGUAUUUGCAUAUUAACGGAUCUGAUGUCCUCAUAUUCUCUCUAGGUUUCUCUUCUAUCGAUUUCAUUAU